UUACGUACAGCCAGUUUGCAACUCGCGCUACUCCGGUACUUACGACUGUGCAUUCGAUAGUCAGGUACCUGAAGUAGCGCGCGCUGCGACUGGA